AACCGUUUCAUUUUCUCUCCAACAUAAACUGCAAGAAAGCCUUUUGGUAUUUCAACAACCUUGAAAGAUGAUGACCUUCUAAUACCAGGAGGUGGGACUUGCAUUAUCUACUAUUUUGACAUUUGAGUAUUUGAUGUUGAAAUUUGAGAAAGUCAUCUAAGGCAACGCCAUGUGAUCUAUUAUACGACCUUGUCUCCCUUGGGUUCUGUGGCUCCCAUGCAUCUCAGUUCUUAUGGCCCUCCUUCACUGACCAUUCAAGUUGCCAACUCUAUUUUACAUAUCCUUACAUCUAUAUAUAUUCAUGGCUGCAAACAUUUAGAAUCAAAACAAAAUCAUUCACAUCCCAAGGCAUUUUAAGUUCAGAAACUUGAGUCUUCUAUACACAAGUCUUUCUUUUUUAGACCAAUCUCUACUUUUCAAACACAUUAAAAAAUGGGUUUUCGUUUACCUAGUAUCAUCAGAAGGGCUGCAAACCAAGCAUCUUCUAAAGGCGUGGAUGUGCCAAAGGGAUAUCUUGCAGUGUAUGUAGGAGAGAAAAUGAAGCGGUUUGUAAUCCCAAUAUCAUAUUUGAAUCAAACUUCAUUCCAGGAAUUGUUGAACCAAGCUGAGGAACAAUUCGGAUAUGAGCAUCCAACGGGUGGUCUCACAAUUCCUUGCAGAGAAGACGUUUUCUUAGAUAUUACUUCUCGUUUGAAUUUUUGCUGAUCUCUUCAGAAGAAGGAGCUGACAUAGAUUAUUUGAGGCAAAUUUGUAUAGGCCGGCACUCACUUAUUUUUUCAUUAUAAUCUAGUUAGUGAGAGAGAAAAACAACUGAGUGAGAUGAUUAUGGACAGAGAGAUUGUGACUAGUUAGGAAAAUUUUCAAUGAUUUUGUACUACAAACUUAUAUGCAGAAUAAUAAUACAAAGAGAUAUAUUUGUCUUGCAUAUGCUCUUCUUGUUUAA